rnacentral:rRNA from 1 species
CCGUAGCCGGCUGCUCAAGUUUUCGGUUAAAUCUAUGCGCUCAACGUAUAGGCCGCCGAAAAUACUGGGCAGCUAGGGAGUGGGAGAGGUACACGGUACUCAAUAGGAAGGGGUAAAAUCCUUUGAUCUAUUGAUGACCACCUGUGGCGAAGGCGGUGUACCAGAACACGUUCGACGGUGAGGGAUGAAAGCUGGGGGAGCAAACCGGAUUAGAUACCCGGGUAGUCCCAGCUGUAAACGAUGCAGACUCGGUGAUGCAUUGGCUUGUGGCCAAUGCAGUGCCGCAGGGAAGCCGUUAAGUCUGCCGCCUGGGAAGUACGUACGCAAGUAUGAAACUUAAAGGAAUUGGCGGGGGAGCACCACAAGGGGUGAAGCCUGCGGUUCAAUUGGAGUCAACGCCAGAAAUCUUACCUGGGGCGACAGCAGAAUGAAGGUCAAGCUGAAGACUUUACCAGACAAGCUGAGAGGUGGUGCAUGGCCGUCGCCAGCUCGUGCCGUGAGAUGUCCUGUUAAGUCAGGUAACGAGCGAGACCCCUGCGUCUAGUUGCUACCAUUACUCUCUGGAGUAGUGGAGCGAAUUAGACGGACCGCCACAGUUAAUGUGGAGGAAGGAAGGGGCCACGGCAGGUCAGUAUGCCCCGAAACCCUAGGGCUACACGCGGGCUGCAAUGGUAUUGACAAUGUGUUCCGAAUCCGAAAGGAGGAGGCAAUCAUCAAACGAUACCUCAGUUAUGACUGAGGGCUGUAACUCGCCCUCACGAAUAUGGAAUCCCUAGUAACUGCGCGUCACUACCGCGCGGUGAAUACGUCCCUGCUCCUUGCACACACCGCCCGUCGUUUCAUCGAAGUUGGCCUUUAGUGAGGUAGUGUCUUGUUGGCAUUAUCGAGCUUGAGGUCAGUGACGAGGGAAAAGUCGUAACAAGGUA